rnacentral:rRNA from 1 species
UACGUAGGGGGGCAAGCGUUGUCCGGAUUUAUUGGGCGUAAAGGGCGCGUAGGCGGUUUCUUAAGUUUGGAGUGACAGUGGGUGGCUUAACUACCCAAGGCCUUUGAAAACUGGGGAACUUGAGGACCAGAGAGGGACAUAGAAUUCCGGGUGGAGUGGUGAAAUGCGUAGAUAUCCGGAGGAAUACCAAAGGCGAAGGCAGUGUCCUGGAGGGUGACUGACGCUGAGGCGCGAAAGCUAGGGGAGCGAACAGG